AUAGGCGAUUAAAAUUUUUACUUACAAUAAGAAACACCGUAAGGCGCCUUUA
rnacentral:tRNA from 1 species